AUUGAACGCUGGCGGCAGGCCUAACACAUGCAAGUCGAGCGAGCGGCGGACGGGUGAGUAAUGUAUGGGGACUGACCGCUAGCGGGGGAUAACUACUGGAAACGGUGGCUAAUAACGCAUACUGUCGGAUCACACCUAUGGGAUUAGCUAGUAGGUAAGGUAAUGGCUUACCUAGGCGACGAUCCCUAGCUGGUCUGAGAGGAUGAUCAGCCACACUGGGACUGAGACACGGCCCAGACGCCUACGGAGGCAGCAGUUGGGAAUAUUGCACAAUGGGCGCAAGCCUGAUGCAGCCAUGCCGCGUGUAUGAAGAAGGCCCUAGGGUUGUAAAGUACUUUCAGUCGGGAGGCGUUACCGACAGAAGAAGCACCGGCUAACUCCGUGCCAGCAGCCGCGGUAAUUC
rnacentral:rRNA from 1 species